rnacentral:rRNA from 1 species
UCGAGAAUCUUCCGCAAUGGGCGAAAGCCUGACGGAGCGACGCCGCGUGGUAGAUGAAGUCCUUAGGGACGUAAAUACCUUUUAUGAGGGAAGAAGUAUAUUGACAUUACCUCAUGAAUAAGGGGCUCCCAAUUCUGUGCCAGCAGGAGCGGUAAUACAGAAGCCUCGAGCGUUACCCGGAUUUACUGGGCGUAGGGGUGUAGGUGGUGUAAUUAGUCUUGCGUUAAAUCCAGGGGCUCAACCUCUGGCU